GACAGGGCCAGCACUAAGACCUCCAGGGGCCGGGGCCUUUAGCUCCAAGCCUGGGGUGGGCUCUGGGGCAGAAGCAGCCAUUGUCACAGUAGCUCAGUGACAGCUGCACUCUGGAUUAAGGACAACCAGAGUGUCUGGUACAAAGAGAAAUCAAAAAGGUGCAAAGUACACAUGGGCGGGCUGAGCUCAGUCAGCUUCUGCCUCCCAGCCUUCCCAUACUUCUAAAUUUGCCACGGUAGACCUGGACAGCGUAGAGGCGAGGCACCGCUCGAGGGGGUGGGGGAAGAGACAGACAGGCGCUUCCAGGAAGCCUUCCCUGUUCCUUGGGCCUCUGAGCUAAUUUCUUGGACCUUGAAAAAUAGUUAAAUUGUAUCCGUGUCCAUCUUCCUCAAGAGCAAGCCCUCAGAGGACAGGAAUCGGAAUGUGCCUACUGUAUCCGAUUUUUCCUCUGCACUCACUGGAGAAAGAAUCUUGUUGCAUCCAAGAAACCCCCUCUGGAUCAUCCAAUUCUGUUCCAGCUGCCCACCAGUUCCCAGAGCCACAAAGGCUUUCUCCUUCCCUCUGCCUUGACCUCUGGCCUCUCCUCUAUGGAGGUCAUAAGUGACUCUCAUCCGCUGACCUAGGACUCUUUUCUUGCAACCCAGCCUGCAUACUGAGAAAUGGCAUCUGAAAGCAGCUGAGAGGAAGACCAGGUGCAUGGGAGGUGCCCACCACUGGCCCUUGACUCAACGUCUCCCCUUCACAACUCUUCUUUUUUAUUUUUACAAAUUUGCCAAUUUUUAAAAAGAUGGCGAAAGAAGAAACCCUUCCUGUUGUUUGCUGGGGAAGGAAGGUGAGGGUGGUAUCCCCUGGGUGGACUUUCUCAGUAAUGCAACUACAGAAAAGAGGAGAACAAUGACUUCUCUAAGACAUACAAGGAUCUGCACAGAUAAAGAUACAUUUGGGGAGUCCUGAAGCUCCCAGAAUCCUAGAGACCGUUGCUAACAGCCUUCGGAGGUCACUCCAAGCUGCUCACUUUACAGAUGAAGAUCAACCCCCAAAGAUGAAGGGAGUUGCUCUGCUGCAGCCAGGCAACAGCAAAGCAGGAAACACGGACCCUGAUGCCCUGCCUGCGUCUAGAAACGUCUACUGAACCCACUGCUAAUUGCAGUGAGGGAAUAUUAUAAUGAAAACGAGUCAACUUCCUGUCCUUCAGGAAUCCACAAUCAAGUGAGGGAAAAAAGGUACAUGCACAUUAAAAAUUACAAAUAAAAAUCCUGCAGACACUUGGCAGACUGGCCCCGCUGCCUGCCUAUCAGGGGCUGUCCCCCAGCACGUGGCUGGACGCCCAUCCUGAGUCUGAUGUGCUAUCUCAGAUCCUUGGUGAGGAGACAGGACCCUCCGACAGCCAUCACAACGCGCCACCCCGCCCGACACCCAACACUGGCUGCCAGAGGAGAGCCCUGUGCCAAGUGCUCCCACAGCUCCCGUCCCGGCAGAUUCUUUGGAAACUGGCCCUACCCUGGCACCCGAGUGAUCCAGGGAUGACCUCAUUUUCUCCUGCCAACUGUAAAGAAUGAAGCACCUUACGCAACCUCACAAGGAAAGUGCUUGGCAGAAAGCCAACAAAGGGCUUGAAGUCCCAGAGAGGCUCCUGUCUAGUUUCAACACCAGGGCGACUUCACUGAAUGUCUAAGAAGGUGUCAUUGACUCCCAUGCGGGAGGAAUUCAAGGAAGUCAUCUAGUUCUGGGGCAGAUAAACUCCUAAAAGGGCCAGGAAAAAAAAUUUAUGAUGUUUCUUAAUAUGAGCAGUUGAAAGCUGCUAUUCGGGCAAAAGUUAAUAAGUUAGUUUCUAUGUGUGUCAGACGGCCUGGGUUCUACAGUGGCCUCCAGCACCAGUUUGCUUAGCAACCUGCAACAAUUCUCUCUGUUUGUCUAGGGUCUGAGUUCCCAAUGUGCAAAAGGGCGGGGGUGAACUAAAAUAUCUCUCAGCAGCUGUCUAGCUCGAAUAUUCCAGGAAUCAACUCACGUACUUCCUUAUGAGACAACGGCUAAUUUCUAGUCUUUUCCAACAUAUCAAAAGCAUCUGAAGAACAGAGCGUUCCAAGUGAAUCCUGCAUAUCACUGAGGGAGAAGGGACAGAAUGCAGGGACUGACAACUUCCCGGAUCCCUCCCCAUCAGCCGAGAAACCACUCUGUUGCUUACUUGGUACAGACGCUCAAUUUAUUUCAAACCUUCUUUACAUUGUGUCUAAAAACUGAAGUUAACCCAUAGCAGAUUAUUGCUAAGAAAACUGCUCAAAAAGAAGCUGGAAUCUAUAGAUCUAAAGUCUAAAAACCACCGCAGGAUGUGGAAGAUGUGGCUUGGCAACUGCACGCACGUUGAAAAGGAAGAAAACAACUCCACUUACGGGUUCGAGUUGAUGAGAAGCUGAACAGAAGUUCAUGAUAUAAUAAUAGAUGCCAAAUGAGCUAAUGCAAUUCCAGGUUGCUAGGAUGAGACAGAACCCCACAAAGAUGGUAGCGCUGUUCUUGCCAUGCAGCUUUCUGUUUCAGGCGGCACACGAUAAAGGGAAUAAUGACCAACUGUGGUCUAGCGAGAGGACAGCACCAGGCCGGGGAGGGGAUGGAAACCAACUAAAUGAGGCACGGUCGGAAGCACAGAGGUUCAACCAGGAGAACCGGCAACUGCGGAGGACUGCUCAGCCACCAAUGCCAACACACCGAUGCCCGGGAGCGUGCGAGAGGGAUGGCAGACUCGGCCGGGACACAGAACUGGAAGGCAUAUGUGAAAAGAUGCCAAGGAGUGCGUCAGUCUGAGGACCUGAAUUAACCUGCGGGCAAGAUUGCAACAACAGGAGUGUCAACGCACGUAGGUGAGACCCAGGUACACUCCUUGCAAGCAAAUGCUGCUCACCCAGAAGCACAUUGAAAGAACAGGCUUUAAACAUAUUAUAUGGCUUUAAUGUAAGGGAGACUUCCCACUGGUGUGUGAUGGCCAGUGGGGCACCAGAAAUGGGCUAUAGGGGCUGAGACAUUGAUCCUCUCACCCCUUGGAGCAGCCAGGUGGGUCCCGAGGUGGCUGGAGCUCCUGAGACAAUUUCCUCCAGUUGUGAGCAGGCUUGUUUUUUAAUCCCGAGGAUCUAUAAAGUGUUAUCCUUUUCUACAUGUGUUGUGGUAUAGAAAAGCUUGGAAAGCACUGGAGAAGUAGGGUGUUCAUAUGAUAUUUUGUGUAAAUGGAGACAUUUUUGAGGAUGAAAGGGGCUGUAUUAAUAUGUACGCCAGGACCCCAGGCAUAUAGUGGGACUCUUCUAGGUAAACCGGGAUGUACGGCGGAGGAGCAGGUUAAUCCCCCCAAAGACAUUUACGUCCUAGUCCCCACCCCCUGUGAAUGUGUUACCUUAGAUGGCAGAAGAGACUUUGCAGGUGUGAUUAAGUUGAGGAUCUUGGGGUGAGGAGAUUAUGCUGCAUUAUCUGGGUGGCCUGAUGUCAUCACAAAGGUUCUUAUAGGAAGGAGGAAGGAAGGUCAAGAAGAAGAAGAUGCUCUUCUGCUGACUUCGGAGAUGAAGGAGCCACAAGCCAAGGGAAUGGGGGAGGCCUCUAGGAGCUAGAAAAAGGAGGAAGCAGAUUCUCGCCGGAGCCUCCACAAAGAAGGCAGCCCUGCCAACAUCUUGACUUUGGGACUUCUGUAAGGGUCAACAAGCCCUUUCUGGGCCAUGGGGAUGCAGUGAUGCAGCACCGGAGGCCAGCACCUGCACUUGGCUCUGGGACCACACCCACUGGAGGAGGUUUUGCUUCUGGAAAAUAAGAUUCAGGACCCUGCCCAGUUUCCACUCAUCCUUUAUAGGGGGAUGUUCGUGAUCACCACCCUGUGCAUAAGCCUCAGGCCUUGGCUACCUCAAGUUUGGGGUCACCACCCAGGCAAGCAUCACCCUCAACCUCCCCAACUGUUGGUGAGUGAGAUCAGGCCUCAAGUCAGAAGGAUGCCAUGCAGGUGGGGCUGGCUUGGCUUCCGCUUAUCAGAGGAGAGUAGCAAGGUAUGAAUGAGGAUCGUCUCCAGCAUGGAGAAGAGAUGCCAGGAAACUGAACUGUGGAAAGAGGUAGACCGGAUAAAUCAGGAGACCUGGAUUCUUGUCCAACAUGGCCAAUUAAUUCUCCUGUGUUCUGGGCAAGAUAUUUCUCCUCUCUAUACUUCAGUUUCCCAAAGAAAGGGAUUAGACCAAAUGGUUUCUGAGUGCCUUCCCAACUUUGACUGAUGUGUUAGUCAGUUCUCUCAUUUGCAAGUGACUGAAAACCAAUCCAAACUGGCCCAAGUUUUAAAACAAAAAGCAGACAGAAGUCCUUGCACAUAUCUGACUUCAGGCAUGGCUGGAUCCAGCUACUUAAAUGGUAUCAUCAGGACUCAGUCUGUCUCUAUCUCCUAGGUUUAUUUUUCUCUGGGUGGGCUUUAUUCAAGUAGACUUCACACGCACACAGUGGCAGAUAACUGCUGGCAGCCUCUCAGUUACCGGCCCUUCUCUCAUCAACCUUGAUGUAAAGAGAGUUUCUCUUUUCCAAAAGGCCCAUUGAAAGCCUUGGGAUUAAUUCUAAUCCCCACAGCUUGGGUCACAUGUCCAUUCUGAACCAGUCCUAUGGCCAGCAGAUGAAGUAUGCUGAUUGGCUGGGCCUAAAUCACAUGCCUUAGUGGGAUGGGGUCAGGAGUUCCCUGAACCUAGCGAGCUGAGAGUGAGGACAGGGUGACUUCAGGUUAACUGAAGAGGUAAUGGUUGCUGGGUCAAUUAAUCCAACCAAGGUCCCUUAGAACAUAUCAUAAUUACGGUGAAAUCUGGGGACCACAGAUCAUCUCAUAGACACUCUUACAACUUCUCAGGAAGCCAGGCAAGAUGUGGGGAUCAUUGCAAAGGGCAGUAAGGGGGAUGUCACUAGAGGGUGGCCAGCAGCCUCUUCUCCUUUUGCUCACCAUCUUGACUUUCUAAAAGCGCUCAGGUUCUCAGGCACAUGGACCUUUUCUCGUAUUCUGUUCCCUGCUCUGAGCCCUCACAUUAACAUCCUCACUGGGAAUGUGCUGUGUCUGUGCUCAGGGUGAAUACGAAUGUGUUGGGUCCUUACAGGCAGAUACAGGAAGCGUCAAGUGAUGAGCUACAGCUGAGCGCUGUCUACCUGGGGGCCAGGAUUGGUGCAAGGAUCCCGUGAGAGUCGAGCACAUGAGGUGGACACAGAGGGAGCGGCUGUUGUGAAAUGAGAUGGCUGGAGAUUGGACUUGCCAUACGAUGGGCUUUGAAUCCCCUGCUCAAGCUUAGAACUCUUUCUUGUAGGUUGUGAGAUACCAUUAAAGGCUUUUCGAGCAUUACAGUAACACAAUCUCUGAGCUUUUCUCAGUCUUAUGUCCACUAAAAAGCAGUGUCUUUUUUCUAUUCUUGAUAAAAAUGAGUCCCAUGUGGUCAUCUUUUCAUGAUCAUAGAAUUUCAGAGACCAUCAGAUCCAGCCCCUGCCUUUUAGCAGGUACAGAGUAUAUGUCCCCAUUUCACGGAUGAGGCAAAUGAAGUUCAGGGGUGUAAAGGCCUAGAUAGUGUAGAGGCCAAAUUAGCAUUCAGGUCUCCUGCAACCCAACACAGUUUUUCCAACAUACACAUCAUACACUCUCUGACUGCGUGCAAACUCAAUUAUGAAAGAGCAGGAGAGCUAUUUCUAAAGUGCAGGCAGUUUCACCCAUCACUGCCCUCAUUGAAUAGAUGUCCCUGAAGGAUUGAGA